AGACCCGAAACCCGGUGAUCUAGCCAUGGGCAGGUUGAAGGUUGGGUAACACUAACUGGAGGACCGAACCGACUAAUGUUGAAAAAUUAGCGGAUGACCUGUGGCUGGGGGUGAAAGGCCAAUCAAACCGGGAGAUAGCUGGUUCUCCCCGAAAGCUAUUUAGGUAGCGCCUCGUGAAUUCAUCUCCGGGGGUAGAGCACUGUUUCGGCUAGGGGGCCAUCCCGGCUUACCAACCCGAUGCAAACUGCGAAUACCGGAGAAUGUUAUCACGGGAGACACACGGCGGGUGCUAACGUCCGUCGUGAAGAGGGAAACAACCCAGACCGCCAGCUAAGGUCCCAAAGUCAUGGUUAAGUGGGAAACGAUGUGGGAAGGCCCAGACAGCCAGGAUGUUGGCUUAGAAGCAGCCAUCAUUUAAAGAAAGCGUAAUAGCUCACUGGUCGAGUCGGCCUGCGCGGAAGAUGUAACGGGGCUAAACCAUGCACCGAAGCUGCGGCAGCGACACUGUGUGUUGUUGGGUAGGGGAGCGUUCUGUAAGCCUGUGAAGGUGUGUCGUGAGGCAUGCUGGAGGUAUCAGAAGUGCGAAUGCUGACAUAAGUAACGAUAAAGCGGGUGAAAAGCCCGCUCGCCGGAAGACCAAGGGUUCCUGUCCAACGUUAAUCGGGGCAGGGUGAGUCGACCCCUAAGGCGAGGCCGAAAGGCGUAGUCGAUGGGAAACGGGUUAAUAUUCCCGUACUUGGUGUUACUGCGAAGGGGGGACGGAGAAGGCUAUGUUGGCCGGGCGACGGUUGUCCCGGUUUAAGUGUGUAGGUGUGUGUUCCAGGUAAAUCCGGUUCACUUUAACACUGAGGCGUGACGACGAGGCACUACGGUGCUGAAGCAACAAAUGCCCUGCUUCCAGGAAAAGCCUCUAAGCAUCAGGUAACAUCAAAUCGUACCCCAAACCGACACAGGUGGUCAGGUAGAGAAUACCAAGGCGCUUGAGAGAACUCGGGUGAAGGAACUAGGCAAAAUGGUGCCGUAACUUCGGGAGAAGGCACGCUGACACGUAGGUGAAGUGAUUUACUCAUGGAGCUGAAGUCAGUCGAAGAUACCAGCUGGCUGCAACUGUUUAUUAAAAACACAGCACUGUGCAAACACGAAAGUGGACGUAUACGGUGUGACGCCUGCCCGGUGCCGGAAGGUUAAUUGAUGGGGUCAGCGCAAGCGAAGCUCCUGAUCGAAGCCCCGGUAAACGGCGGCCGUAACUAUAACGGUCCUAAGGUAGCGAAAUUCCUUGUCGGGUAAGUUCCGACCUGCACGAAUGGCGUAAUGAUGGCCAGGCUGUCUCCACCCGAGACUCAGUGAAAUUGAACUCGCUGUGAAGAUGCAGUGUACCCGCGGCAAGACGGAAAGACCCCGUGAACCUUUACUAUAGCUUGACACUGAACAUUGAGCCUUGAUGUGUAGGAUAGGUGGGAGGCUUUGAAGUGUGGACGCCAGUCUGCAUGGAGCCGACCUUGAAAUACCACCCUUUAAUGUUUGAUGUUCUAACGUGGACCCGUUACCCGGGUUGCGGACAGUGUCUGGUGGGUAGUUUGACUGGGGCGGUCUCCUCCUAAAGAGUAACGGAGGAGCACG
rnacentral:rRNA from 1 species